GAUGAACGCUAGCUACAGGCUUAACACAUGCAAGUCGAGGGGCAGCAUGGGCUUAGCUUGCUAAGCCCGAUGGCGACCGGCGCACGGGUGAGUAACACGUAUCCAACCUGCCGAUCACUCCGGUACAGCCUUUCGAAAGAAAGAUUAAUACAAGAUGGCAUCAUGAGUCCGCAUGUUCACAUGAUUAAAGGUAUUCCGGUAGACGAUGGGGAUGCGUUCCAUUAGAUAGUAGGCGGGGUAACGGCCCACCUAGUCUUCGAUGGAUAGGGGUUCUGAGAGGAAGGUCCCCCACAUUGGAACUGAGACACGGUCCAA
rnacentral:rRNA from 1 species